UAUGUGAUCGUCUCUCGCAUAUCAAUAAGCGGAGGAAAAGAAACUAACAAGGACUCCCCUAGUAACGGCGAGUGAAGCGGGAAGAGCUCAAAUUUGAAAUCUUAAAGGGUUUCCCUUUACGAAUUGUAGUUUAAAGAAGUGUCUUCUGUUGAGGUUUUGGUAAAAGUUCUUUGGAAUAGGACAUCAUAGAGGGUGAGAAUCCCGUAUUUGACCUUUACUUUCAACUUUGUGAUACACUUUCAAAGAGUCGGAUUGUUUGGGAAUGCAGUCCAAAAUGGGUGGUAAAUUUCAUCUAAAGCUAAAUAUUGGCGAGAGACCGAUAGCGAACAAGCACCGUGAGGGAAAGAUGAAAAGAGCUUUGAAAAGAGAGUUAAACAGUACGUGAAAUUGUCAAAAGGGAAGCGUUUGACACCAGUGUUGUUUUUCUGAAAAUCAAUUAAAGAACUGUUUAUGCUAAGUUGUUUAGACUUUAUCAGCUAUCUGCUUAGUUUUGAGCUUUUCUUUAAUGCACUUUUCAGUUAACAAGUCAACAUCAAUUUCUUUUGCUGUAAAAAAGCUUGAGGAAGGUGGCUUGAGAUUCGUCUUAAGUGUUUAUAGCCUCUUGCCUAUGCAGUCGGAGAGAUUGAGGUCUGCAGCGUAGAUCCUUCGGGGCUAAAUGCAUUUGUGCUAAGUUAUAGCAUUUUAUAGACAACUUGUUGACUAUGAUUUGUCUUGUAGCUUACUCGCUUAUGUUAUUUUACCUACGCUUAGGAUGUUGAUCUACAGAGCGAGAGU
rnacentral:rRNA from 1 species